GCUGAAACAAAGAGCGCGGGAAUCAGAGAAGGACCGUUGCCGACCGUUGACGCGCAAUUGGAGACAAAGAGGCCGUUAUUCUUCGCCGCCUUCUAUUCGGUCACGCUCACCCUCUUCAAGGUUCUCGGUUAUGCUAAAUACUUGGAUUUUGCGAUCUGGCUACGCUCGUGUGCCAGAUUUUACGUGGCAACGAAAAAAAAUACGAAUAACGCAAAUUCGUUACUUGUUUGAUAGGUUUCCAAUUGGAGGGAAAAUAGAGAAGAAACGAGAGAAGAAUUUUCGAAAUUAUAAGAUUCGAAGUUACAGGAAUUUCAUUGUGUGAAGAAGCUGUGCAAGCGCUCUAUUACAUCGUUAGAAACGCGGAAUAUCAUGCUUCCGGUGACACUCUAUAAAUAAACAUCGACUGAAUGAAAUAACUGUUCGCAUCUCUAGCUAUAUUCAUGUGUUCCAUAAGUCGCAAGCAACGUUCACAUUGCACCAGCAGAGUGAAAAAUAAAUCGAGCAUAUAAUAAUUGCA